rnacentral:rRNA from 1 species
GAUGAACGCUGGCGGCAGGCCUAACACAUGCAAGUCGAGCGCCCCGCAAGGGGAGCGGCAGACGGGAGAGUAACACGUGGGAACGUACCCUUUGGUUCGGAACAACCCAGGGAAACUUGGGCUAAUACCGGAUAAGCCCUUACGGGGAAAGAUUCAUCGCCGAAGGAUCGGCCCGCGUCUGAUUAGCUAGUUGGUGGGGUAACGGCCCACCAAGGCGACGAUCAGUAGCUGGUCUGAGAGGAUGAUCAGCCUCACUGGGACUGAGACACGGCCCAGACUCCUACGGGAGGCAGCAGUGGGGAAUAUUGGACAAUGGGCGCAAGCCUGAUCCAGCCAUGCCGCGUGGGUGAUGAAGGCCCUAGGGUUGUAAAGCCCUUUCGGCGGGGAAGAUAAUGACGGUACCCGCAGAAGAAGCCCCGGCUAACUUCGUGCCAGCAGCCGCCGUAA